GAUGAACGCUGGCGGCGUGCCUAAUACAUGCAAGUCGAGCGAACAGACGAGGAGCUUGCUCCUCUGACGUUAGCGGCGGACGGGUGAGUAACACGUGGAUAACCUACCUAUAAGACUGGGAUAACUUCGGGAAACCGGAGCUAAUACCGGAUAAUAUAUUGAACCACAUGGUUCAAUAGUGAAAGACGGUUUUGCUGUCACUUAUAGAUGGAUCCGCGCCGCAUUAGCUAGUUGGUAAGGUAACGGCUUACCAAGGCGACGAUGCGUAGCCGACCUGAGAGGGUGAUCGGCCACACUGGAACUGAGACACGGUCCAGACUCCUACGGGAGGCAGCAGUAGGGAAUCUUCCGCAAUGGGCGAAAGCCUGACGGAGCAACGCCGCGUGAGUGAUGAAGGUCUUCGGAUCGUAAAACUCUGUUAUUAGGGAAGAACAAAUGUGUAAGUAACUAUGCACGUCUUGACGGUACCUAAGCAGAAAGCCACGGCUAACUACGU
rnacentral:rRNA from 1 species